GAUGAACGCUGGCGGCGUGCCUAAUACAUGCAAGUCGAGCGAACGGACGAGAAGCUUGCUCCUCUGAUGUUAGCGGCGGACGGGUGAGUAACACGUGGAUAACCUCCCUAUAAGACUGGGAUAACUUCGGGAAACCGGAGCUAAUACCAGCUAAUAUUUUGAACCGCAUGGUUCAAAAGUGAAAGACGGUCUUGCUGUCACUUAUAGAUGGAUCCGCGCUGCAUUAGCUAGUUGGUAAGGUAACGGCUUACCAAGGCAACUAUGCAUAGCCGACCUGAGAGAGUGCUCGCCGCAAAGAGAACUGAGGCGGGGGCAAGAUGCCUAAGAGAGGCAGCAGUAGAGCAACAUCGGCAGUAGUCGAAAGACUGACGGAGCAAAGGCACGUAAGUGAUGAAGGUCCUCGGAGCGGAAAACUCUGUUAUGAGAGAAGAACAUAUGUGUAAGGAACAGUGCAAAACUUGACGGUACCUAAUCAGAAAGACACGGCUAAAUACGUG
rnacentral:rRNA from 1 species